rnacentral:lncRNA from 10 species
GUCACUUUAUUGCUAACAACCUCUUUCUCCCUCAAAUUCUUGUUUACCCUCAAAAGUGACUCUCUACAUUGGCGUUGACUUUGGGAAAAUGCCCUGAGCUGUAGGUACUCUUAAGAGUUGUGCACUUUUCAGAAUGUACAUUAUCCUUCAAGAGAUUGUUUAUUUAAAAAAUGUAUUUAUAAAUGAGAUUAGACUGUAAUAUCACUGACGACUAAACAGUGGUCAUUAUUUUAGAGUGUUGCAGUCAGCGCUAACCUUUUUUUUUUGUGCAUCGAUUUUUCCAGUGUUCUGAGAUCUUGUUACUGGUGGCGAAUCCAUACAGGUCUGCAGCAACCUCAAUUCUUGCCUCUUCAGAACACAGAAUUCAACCAAGGGACCUAAGGCAGAAGGAGAGACCAAGAGAUGGAGUCUCCCUGUAUUGCCCAAACUGG